rnacentral:rRNA from 1 species
UGGGGAAUAUUGGACAAUGGGCGAAAGCCUGAUCCAGCCAUGCCGCGUGUGUGAAGAAGGUCUUCGGAUUGUAAAGCACUUUAAGUUGGGAGGAAGGGCAGUUACCUAAUACGUAAUUGUUUUGACGUUACCGACAGAAUAAGCACCGGCUAACUCUGUGCCAGCAGCCGCGGUAAUACAGAGGGUGCAAGCGUUAAUCGGAAUUACUGGGCGUAAAGCGCGCGUAGGUGGUUUGUUAAGUUGGAUGUGAAAUCCCCGGGCUCAACCUGGGAACUGCAUUCAAAACUGACUGACUAGAGUAUGGUAGAGGGUGGUGGAAUUUCCUGUGUAGCGGUGAAAUGCGUAGAUAUAGGAAGGAACACCAGUGGCGAAGGCGACCACCUGGACUAAUACUGACACUGAGGUGCGAAAGCGUGGGGAGCAAACA